GAUGAACGCUGGCGGCGUGCCUAAUACAUGCAAGUCGAGCGAACGGACGAGAAGCUUGCUCCUCUGACGUUAGCGGCGGACGGGUGAGUAACACGUGGAUAACCUACCUAUAAGACUGGGAUAACUUCGGGAAACCGGAGCUAAUACCGGAUAAUAUUUUGAACCGCAUGGUUCAAUAGUGAAAGACGGUUUUGCUGUCACUUAUAGAUGGAUCCGCGCUGCAUUAGCUAGUUGGUAAGGUAACGGCUUACCAAGGCAACGAUGCAUAGCCGACCUGAGAGGGUGAUCGGCCACACUGGAACUGAGACACGGUCCAGACUCCUACGGGAGGCAGCAGUAGGGAAUCUUCCGCAAUGGGCGAAAGCCUGACGGAGCAACGCCGCGUGAGUGAUGAAGGUCUUCGGAUCGUAAAACUCUGUUAUUAGGGAAGAACAUAUGUGUAAGUAACUGUGCACAUCUUGACGGUACCUAAUCAGAAAGCCACGGCUAACUACGUG
rnacentral:rRNA from 1 species